GCCUACGGGGGGCAGCAGUAGGGAAUUUUCGUCAAUGGGGGGAACCCUGAACGAGCAAUGCCGCGUGAGUGAAGAAGGCCUUCGGGUCGUAAAGCUCUGUUGUAAGAGAAAAACGGUAAUGAUAGGGAAUGAUCAUUAAGUGAUGGUAUCUUACGAGGAAGCCACGGCUAACUACGUGCCAGCAGCCGCGGUAAUACGUAGGGUGCGAGCGUUAAUCGGAAUUACUGGGCGUAAAGGGUGUGCAGGCGGCUGAGUAAGACAGAUGUGAAAUCCCCGGGCUUAACCUGGGAACCGCAUAUGUGACU
rnacentral:rRNA from 1 species